CCUACGGGCGGCAGCAGUGGGGAAUAUUGCACAAUGGGGGAAACCCUGAUGCAGCGACGCCGCGUGAGCGAUGAAGUAUUUCGGUAUGUAAAGCUCUAUCAGCAGGGAAGAAAAUGACGGUACCUGACUAAGAAGCCCCGGCUAACUACGUGCCAGCAGCCGCGGUCAUACGUAGGGGGCAAGCGUUAUCCGGAUUUACUGGGUGUAAGGGGAGCGUAGACGGUCCUGCAAGCCAGAUGUGAAAGCCCGUGGCUCAACCCCGGGACUGCAUUUGGAACUGUAAGGCUAGAGUGUCGGAGAGGCAGGCGGAAUUCCUAGUGUAGCGGUGAAAUGCGUAGAUAUUAGGAGGAACACCAGUGGCGAAGGCGGCCUGCUGGACGAUGACUGACGUUGAGGCUCGAAAGCGUGGGGAGCAAACAGGAUUAGAUACCCGAGUAGUC
rnacentral:rRNA from 1 species